UCGGACGGGUGAGUAACGCGUGAGAAUCUGGCCUAAGGUGGGGGACAACCACUGGAAACGGUGGCUAAUACCGCAUAAGCCUGAGGGUGAAAGAUUAAUUGCCUAAGGAUGAGCUCGCGUCUGAUUAGCUAGUUGGUAGGGUAAGAGCCUACCAAGGCGACGAUCAGUAACUGGUCUGAGAGGAUGACCAGUCACACUGGGACUGAGACACGGCCCAGACUCCUACGGGAGGCAGCAGUGGGGAAUUUUCCGCAAUGGGCGAAAGCCUGACGGAGCAAUACCGCGUGGGGGAGGAAGGCCCUUGGGUUGUAAACCUCUUUUCUCAGGGAAGAAUACUGACGGUACCUGAGGAAUCAGCCUCGGCUAACUCCGUGCCAGCAGCCGCGGUAAUACGGAGGAGGCAAGCGUUAUCCGGAAUGAUUGGGCGUAAAGCGUCCGCAGGUGGCAGUGCCAGUCUGCUGUCAAAGCUCAGGGCUUAACCCUGAACAGGCAGUGGAAACUGCACAGCUAGAGUGCGGUAGGGGCAGAGGGAAUUCCUGGUGUAGCGGUGAAAUGCGUAGAGAUCAGGAAGAACACCGGUGGCGAAAGCGCUCUGCUAGGCCGCAACUGACACUCAGGGACGAAAGCUAGGGGAGCGAAUGGGAUUAGAUACCCCAGUAGUC
rnacentral:rRNA from 1 species